rnacentral:rRNA from 1 species
ACAUCCAGCGAACUUGGCAGAGAUGCCUUGGUGCCUUCGGGAACGCUGAGACAGGUGCUGCAUGGCUGUCGUCAGCUCGUGUUGUGAAAUGUUGGGUUAAGUCCCGCAACGAGCGCAACCCUUAUCCUUUGUUGCCAGCGAUUCGGUCGGGAACUCAAAGGAGACUGCCGGUGAUAAACCGGAGGAAGGUGGGGAUGACGUCAAGUCAUCAUGGCCCUUACGAGUAGGGCUACACACGUGCUACAAUGGCGCAUACAAAGAGAAGCGACCUCGCGAGAGCAAGCGGACCUCAUAAAGUGCGUCGUAGUCCGGAUCGGAGUCUGCAACUCGACUCCGUGAAGUCGGAAUCGCUAGUAAUCGUGGAAUCAGAAUGCCACGGUGAAUACGUUCCCGGGCCUUGUACACACCGCCCGUCACACCAUGGGAGUGGGUUGCAAAAGAAGUAGGUAGCUUAACCUUCGGGAGGGCGCUUACCACUUUGUGAUUCAUGACUGGGGUGAAGUCGUAACAAGGUAAGCGUAGCGAG